rnacentral:rRNA from 1 species
GACGAACGCUGGCGGCGUGCCUAAUACAUGCAAGUUGAGCGCUGAAGGUUGGUACUUGUACCGACUGGAUGAGCAGCGAACGGGUGAGUAACGCGUGGGGAAUCUGCCUUUGAGCGGGGGACAACAUUUGGAAACGAAUGCUAAUACCGCAUAAAAACUUUAAACACAAGUUUUAAGUUUGAAAGAUGCAAUUGCAUCACUCAAAGAUGAUCCCGCGUUGUAUUAGCUAGUUGGUGAGGUAAAGGCUCACCAAGGCGAUGAUACAUAGCCGACCUGAGAGGGGGGUCGCCGCCACUGGGACGCAGAGACGCGCCAAACACCUCCGGGGGGGACCGCAGGGGUAUCUUUGGCAAUUGAGACAAAUCUGACCCAGAGACGCGGCGUGAGUGAAGAGGGUUUUGGCAUCGCAAAACUCUGUUGGGAGAGAAAAACGUUUGGGUGAGAGGAAAGCGCUUCAAGUGACGGGGUAUCCCCCGAGAGGGGCGGCUAUCACCGC